AGGACACCACAUCCAGACUCUUUGGUGCUAUGUAAUUGAAGGAUGGAGCACCUGUUAUGGGACUGAGAAAGGACAACCAAUCAUGACUGAUUUCUGCUUUGACUGGACUUUGGACACCAAAUGGACUGUAUCUCAAGGAUGGGAUAGAAAAGUUGCUUGGACUAUUGUACAUGGCAACAUUGAGAACAUUCUGCUGAGCACACAAACACAACUGAUCUUGCUGCAAUCAACAAGCCAGCCCCAUCAAAUGUAAAGGAUUUUGUGGUGCAUAGAAAAUACACGCCAUAUGACGUUGAUCCAAAAAAGGCAGUAAUGAUG